CUGGGAUAUUCUUUAACAGAAACGUCACCUACCAGCUCUGCAAACAACUCAGGAAGGGAUCUGUUCCUGUCAGAAGAUGAUUUCUGAGGGUGAAGUCUGUUGGUUAAGAUACCCAAAUGCAAAGGUGUGAUGUUCAUUGCUAUUGGAUUAAUGUCCUGCUCCUAUCUGCUAUUUGCCCCAGUACCCUUCUCCCUUAGGGGCUGACUUCCCCUUGUGACGGGUCUGCCAAUCGAGGGAAGGAGUGACAGGACACUCUUCGGAUCUCCAGGCAGUUCUCCACCGACCUGGGACCCUGGAAUCCACUGAGGACGCGCCCCUAAAGACACUGUCUGCAGCCUUCCCUCCCCCUCGUAUUCCCCUCCCUCUCUCUCCUACACAUAGGCAGGGACAGCUCUACACCCAUGCUCAGCACUGAAGAAACUACAGAAGAUCUGGACCUCCGCCCCUUUCCCCUUAGACAUUUGGAGACGAGAGGGGAUGGGAUGGCAGGGGGCACUGAACCAGGUGGGGCCUGAGACUCUGGCCCUCCGGGAGGCUGUGUGGUUCCCCUCUGGAUGGCUGGGCUGGCCAGAUGGCACGACUCACCAGAAGCAGUGGGGAGACAGCUAGCAAAAGGAAUACAUGACCCACUCGAUUCCAUUACUUCACUUUCUCCCCCGCCUCUUGGUUUCCCCCUCCCUUGUCACAGAGUAUCCCUCAACUGGGAAAUACCUUAUCCCACCUGCAGGAGCUCACUGGCUGUGCCCCCGUUCUGGCCUACAGCCCUGUGUCUCCCCUAGCUCCCUCACUGCCCGCUGCAGCCCCUCACAAUAGUGCCCCAAGUGACCUGCUAUGCCAAGCAGGACCCCCUCUUCCUUAAGGAGAGGGCCUCUGUGCAGCCUUGGGUGAGGAACGGUGCUUCCAUGUUAACCACUCAGGGAUCAUUAGGGACUUCCUGAGCAAGCUACGAGAAGGUCUAGAAGCCCUGACUGAAGGAGGGGGAAACUGCCGGCCCCUGAUACGCGACCUUUUCUCCCUAGUCACGUCCCUCAUAGGACCCCUCAUAAUCUUCACCCUACUUUUGACAUUUGGCCCCGGUAUCUUUAACAGCCUUGUUCGGUUCAUAAAAGACUGACUAGAUGCCAUCCAGGUGCUGGCUGUUCGACAACAGUACAGACCCCUAGCCGAGAGCCACGAGCUGCCCCAGUGGGUGGGCCUAACCACUGCCCCCUAAAAGAAAAAGGAGUUGGGAAUGAGGGAGGCCGGAAAAUGGCCAGACUUGAGGGCCUAACAAGCUGACCUGUCAGAACCGUAAAUAUACCAAAUCCUAGCAGGAAGGCCUAAUGAGCUGGUCAGCCUUGAGAAACUUGUCAGAACCAUAAAUAUGCCAAAGCGCCAGCUGCAGUAGAUACCAGAUAAAGGCCAGGAAGAGCCCAACAAAUAUGUCAAACAACAGGUCAGGGGGACCCCAACCAUAUAGAAUUGUCAAAGCUCCAAGAAUAGUAGGAAGCAGAUAAGGGCCAUACGUGCAGGCAAAAUUCCAAGGAUGGUAAGGUACCUACAGAAAAGUAUAAAAAGCCCAGCCUGUCAGAAGCAACUCGGAACUCUGAGGAUAGAGGUUCCCACUGAUGCGCGGAUCAGUUCAAGAAAUGGCCUUUCUCUGCCAGUUUGCAUUGUUCCUGGACUUCCAUGGUGCUGGGUGAAAUCCUGGACCUUAACACUACAUUUUCAUAUUACACUAUUCAUUUGGGUGUAAAACAAAAAGGGGGAGGCGUAGCAGACAGGAAGCCAGGAGCGAGCUCAUCUUCCCAGGCAGAUUCCUGGCCUGCCUUUCAAAGGCUUCUCUGGAAGUAACUGCUUUGACUCAAGCAGGGCACUUAAAGGGCCCUUGGCUAUCACUUGGCUAAAGGGAAAAAAAAAACUUUUCCUAAUACCACAGCAGGUCUCAGCAAAAUUAAUGAAUCCAGGUAAUAAUCCUGAAUUAGGUUCAAUUCCAAACAGCCCAGGUUGUAAAAAGAUACUGCCCUUCUGUAACCAAAGGCAGGAGAUUAAAAACAAACAAACAAAAGGCCAGCCCCUGCACUCAUUUAGCAUUUGAAAAGGGUCCUAGGAACUCUUUUGUUUGAGGUCAGGCCAGGGAAAGGCUGCUAUACCUGGCUGAUUGCAAGUGAUAAGAAGCCCAGGGAAGUGAGAUCUGGGCAUUUGAAUGGCUUUCAUUUAGGCUGGAUACAGGCAGAAUUAUGAAGGAAUGUCUGCUCAUAUUUUUUGAUGAAGGAAGUCAAAAAGGAGAAUUAAAAAUCUUUCUCUGACUUUUGUUAUGUGCCACAGAAUCUCAGGACUAGAAAUGUUUAUCUGUAGAGAAAUUUUGGUAUAAAUCACGAGGUAAUGCAAGUGCAAACAGAACAUUUUUAAGGUUUGGGCUUCAAUCUGAAGCAGCUUGAAAUGUUUUUUCUCUACCGGCCACGUGGCUUGAGCCACGUGGAAGAGAGCAUCAGAGCAACUGAGGUUCCAAGUUUUUUAUUACAAACGCUGUAAUUGGCUAGAAGGAAAAUUGAAUACUGAGACAUACUAAGCAUGACUUGGAAUACGAUUUAAAGGAAUUCAUAAGGCUUUCUAAUUUGAACUAUGGAGGAAUGAUUAACACUUUUCUAAGCAGGACAUGAGAGCAACAAUAUUGAGCAGAGCUUAUUCAAACAGCCUGCAUGCAGUUCAGAAACGUUUUAGUGGGCAUAUUAAUGUACCUGUAUCCAGAAAGCAAACGAUUCCUCACUAGAAUAGCUUUUACUAUGGACACUAAGACACAUGCUCAGCAGAGUCAAAGCAUGGUCAGAAGGAUUCAAUCGGUUUACCAGCGGCUCAUUAUUAAAGUUAGCGAGGAAUCGGUUACUCAGUACAGAGAUUUAUGAAGGAAGGCCUUGACGGAGGCAAUACUAGCAUGUAUUCAAAUGGCAGAUAUUGAAGCUGAUCAUGAGACUGAAAAGAGACCCAUGAUAAUAACGCACGUUCAAAGGUUCCUGGCCCAAUUUGAUUUAUUUCUGCAGUGAAGAUUUGCAGACUUAGCAGAUGAGAGUAAUGAGUUUAGUCACAGUAUUAAGAUCUUUUCAGUGAUGGAGUUCAUUGCAGUAGUUCCCAUACAACAACUCCUGUGCAACUGUUUGAUAAUUCUGUGCAUACGUGUACAGCAUAAGGCAAUGCUAUCAUUUUAAUAACUGCACAAUGGGAAACUUUUUCAAAUAGCAAAAAGUGUGUGCAGGCAAACAGAGGCUUAAGAUCCCAGCACACACGGGUCCAAUCAUAAGUGAUUUCUAGUAGGAUAUGUUUAUGAUUAUGGGUUUGCAAAAGCAACUAUUUAAGCAUCUAUACCUGCUGCUUUGCAAAGUCUAUUGUACAUCUAUAUCCUGAACAAGCAGGGGAUAUCGCUUAUCAAUGCAAACUGUGGGGGAUUAAUUUCACCUCUGAUAGGCAUCCACUGUACAUUUUGGAGCAAAAGGUGCAUUUCAGCAUGCUCCUGGCACAAAGGGUGAACUGUGAAAAGUGAUGGGAGAUACUGACUCUCCUGGUUUAGGGUUCAAGCUCAAAUGAAGAAGUGAGCAAAGUGAUGACAGAUUUUAUGAACAUCUGUGCACUACUGUCUAUUCCACACAGCUUGGAAUAGCAGCGCUUUUAACAGCAAUGCAAGGGCUGAAUUGCAUAGCUCAUGGCUUACAUGCAAGCUAGGGUAAAUAGAGAUCAAGGGAAUUCAUGAGCCCCAAGGUUCAAAAACUGAAGGUAUAGAUGUUCUGUCCCUUCCUAACUCUCUGAGACCCAAUGAGGCUGUCAUUUGGGGUCGAGGUUUUCUGUUUACUUUCUCAGAUACAUGAAGUCCAUGGAAGAUGAUCAAGAGCAUCGGAUGGCAAGACAAUCUGCCCAGAAGAAGGACAGAUGGCAGAGGUGUCUGGCACAGGACACCAGAAAUGCAGCACAUGGAUUGUAAAGGCUAUGAUUGCCCUAUAGGCAGGUUUAACACACUAUGCACACACACAUGUAAUUGUAUGAGAAACAAUGUACAUGCAGAAGAGUAUCAUUGAGUCACUAACAGAUAUUCUGUUCUAGGAAUAUAUGGGUAUUUGGUAAAAGAUCUAACUAUUACAUGCCUGACAAUUUUGAAUGGUACUGGUACAAUGUGUAACUUGAAAUGAUAUUAUUGGAAUUGUUCCAUGUUAGCCAAAUUUGAUCAAAUAUCAAAAGGGUAUAAUUGGGAAUGUUAUGACAGUAUAAGGAAUGCUGUCCACCUGCAGCACAAAUGGGUAUUACUAUCCAACACGUAAUGAUGAUUAUUGUCUUAAAGGGUACAUUAUAUUUGCAAACAAUAUGUUUUUGCUAGAAUCAGACUUAUCUAGAAGUCAAUUUUGUCUAGCUGUGACAUUUCCACUUUCAUAAGGAAAGAGGUGGAUAUGGUAUCACUAAUCAUCUAUCUCUUCUACACCCCAGAAAGAAUAUAAGUUAAAGCUUUGUAACAAUCAAUAUUGAAUGUAAUGAUAAAGAUCACAUUGUGUGAGAUACCUGAAUUGGGUUAAAAAUCAUCAAGAUAUUAAGACUGUAAGGGACCCAAGGGGAUGAUAACGUUGGGUCGAGGUCUUGUUUAUAUGUUCACAGACAAUGAAAACAUCUGGUCUCCCACGUCAUGCUUCAUGCCAGCUGAUACAGACCAGGAAGAGAAGCAGACGGAAGGUGAUGGCAUCAGCUAUCUACAUGCCAGCCAAAAUCCAGACUCGCUGGAAGGACACUUCUUUGGUGACUAAUAUCACUCUAGAACAAUGACAUUACACUAUUAGAGACAUUGGCUAUUAGGCCACUGAAGGACACUUGUCAUGCUGACAUCCAUUGAGAUGUGGUACCCAGAGCAACAUCAAGUAUGCUAACUCAGAAGGACUAAAUCACACUUGUGUCUGUACAAGACACCAGAUACAUCCCACAUUCCAAAGACUUCGCGAUGGGAUUGAGAUGACAUAGCUACAAAUUGUCUAGCUACUAAAGUAUACCUUGUAUUUUGUAUAUGAUACUGUCAAAGGGAAUUUUGUAUGCAUUAUGAAUUGUAUGCAUUGUAAAGCUACCACUUGUAAGAAAUGCUGUUAUCAACAAGGGUAUAGACCUUGGUAGGACUCUCCAAAGAGUAGGAGAUAGAAAACUUUCAUUCAUAGCAUAGAUAUGAUACCUCUGACAUCAAAAAUGAGGUGCUAAGCAGAAAAUGCUGCACAGACAGGUUUAAUGGACAGAUGACACUGAUGUUACUCUCAAGAAAGAAUGAGAGAUCAGGAAAAAGACAUUAGGAAAUCUUUAAUCAGGAACUUGAGUUAUUGUAAGAGAUCAUUGACAUCCAGGCAAAGAUUAUGUUCCUGACAUUACAUUAAGGGCUGACUACCAUAGCAGUAGUUAAGUGUUAAUACCAUUGUUAACCAUUACUCCUGAUACCCUGUCUUUGUGGGUAAUAUCUUAAUAGGAAAAAUGUCUUGCUCUCCUCCAACAGUCCCAGAAUUCAGACGGCCGCUGGAUUCGGGAUCUAUUGGCUUCCCUUUCAUAUACUGGAAGACGUUCUGGUAUAUGGAAGUAAGACCUCAUGAAAAACUGAGGGCUCUAGGUUUGACAAUUUCUGUGGACGCGCAGUCAUUGUCUCUCCUAGGUGGAAAAAAUUAUUAUUGCACAAGAACAUGGAGCAAGGGCAAAGUAUAAUCUAAGUUUUACUGUUUUGGAGUAUGGAUUGAAAACAUGACACAAUAGGCACAGAUAAGCUUGUAGAAAAAGCACAUUGAAUAUUAUUCACUGACAAUUAGGAAUGAAAAAGCUAUGUCAAAUGCUGUAGGUACAAGAAACUGUAGAAAUUGUUUCUACAUGGGAAACAACUUAAGCUUCUAUUUACCCAAACAUUGGUUUGGUGGAAUUAAUUUUGAAAAAAUUGGUAAUGGUAUAGGCUUGGUUAUCAUAUUGAUGGGUUUAUUUAUACAAACAGAGAUUUAAAAUAAGGAAGACAUUAGGAAUAUGCAGUCAGAACUUGAAAUAUUACUUCAUUAUCACCAUCAUGGUUAUUUAAGCUACAAUUGAGAAUGUAAAAUGGAUGGGAAUAUUGGUAUUUGUUAAAAAUUGCACUGUGAUUGAUGUAUUGAUGUUUUUGCAAAGCCUGUAAUGGUGCAAAAUUAUGUUCAUAUACAAGGCGAAUUUUGAUCUAUUUA